rnacentral:rRNA from 1 species
CUACGGGAGGCACCAGUGGGGAAUCUUGGACAAUGGGCGCAAGCCUGAUCCAGCCAUGCCGCGUGAGUGAAGAAGGCCUUAGGGUCGUAAAGCUCUUUCGCCAGAGAUGAUAAUGACAGUAUCUGGUAAAGAAACCCCGGCUAACUCCGUGCCAGCAGCCGCGGUAAUACGGAGGGGGUUAGCGUUGUUCGUAAUUACUGGGCGUAAAGCGCGCGUAGGCGGAUUAGUCAGUCAGAGGUGAAAUCCCAGGGCUCAACCCUGGAACUGCCUUUGAUACUGCUAGUCUUGAGUUCGAGAGAGGUGAGUGGAAUUCCGAGUGUAGAGGUGAAAUUCGUAGAUAUUCGGAGGAACACCAGUGGCGAAGGCGGCUCACUGGCUCGAUACUGACGCUGAGGUGCGAAAGUGUGGGGAGCAAACAGGAUUAGAUACCCGUGUAGUC